GAACAGCUCCCGCUGACGUCAUUGCCUGGUUACACGCCACGCCCACUUCUUCCUUGGCGACCUCCUCCGAAGGGGGGCGGUGGCAUAGAUAACAUGUUUAUGUUACGGUACGAUCUGUGUCAGUGCCUUUACAUGUUUAAACGGUUUUAACCAUCUUGUUAAACUAGAAACAUGUGUAUGCAGGUUGUGUAUUCAGUGUGAUAUUGGAUAAUAAGAAGACUUUAGCCCAUGCACCCAGGAGGUUCUAGGCGAAAUUAUUCACUCUGAGUGCGAAGGCGAACUCGUUUAAAGAUGAGGCCAGAUGGUUGAAGCUGAUGAGCAGGAGAUCUGCAGAACAAUACAGUGGCCACAGGUGUGUUCGGCAUCCUGGCAGUAGAAGACAUUGCACAUCCAAAGGAGACAUUUAUUUGGCUAAAGCCAGUCCAGGAACAGGCCAAGGUGCUGCUGCAGCCCCAUCUUUGAGGCCAAGUCAGAUACUGGGAGAGACACACUGACGUUCUUUGUUUUUCAGUGCUCAUCACUGGAUGUUCAUCUUUUCAAAAAACAGUGAUCCAGUAAAAUCAGUGUUGCUGCCAGUCAUUGACCCAGUUCAGGUCUGACUUUCUAUGAAGUUAUUUCCAGAACCAACUCCAUGCUUACAUUGCAUAAUCAUUUGAGCUGACUUGUCUGUACAUGUUGUUCCGUCAAACUUUGAUAUAGUGUUCACUAUGUUUGUUCAGAGUGACCUAUAUAUGAAGCCAUUUUCUCAAGUCACUUGGGAAGUUGCAGGUUAUUUUCAGGUCUAUAUUUCUUAGUAAAAGUCCAAUGUUU